GAUGAACGCUAGCUACAGGCUUAACACAUGCAAGUCGAGGGGCAGCAUGGUCUUAGCUUGCUAAGGCCGAUGGCGACCGGCGCACGGGUGAGUAACACGUAUCCAACCUGCCGUCUACUCUUGGACAGCCUUCUGAAAGGCAGAUUAAUACAAGAUGGCAUCAUGAGUCCGCAUGUUCACAUGAUUAAAGGUAUUCCGGUAGACGUUGGGGAUGCGUUCCAUUAGAUAGUAGGCGGGGUAACGGCCCACCUAGUCUUCGAUGGAUAGGGGUUCUGAGAGGAAGGUCCCCCACAUUGGAACUGAGACACGGCCCAGACUCCUACGGGAGGCAGCAGUGAGGAAUAUUGGUCAAUGGGCGCAGGCCUGAACCAGCCAAGUAGCGUGAAGGAUGACUGCCCUAUGGGUUGUAAACUUCUUUUAUAAAGGAGUAAAGUCGGGUAUGUAUACCCGUUUGCAUAUACUUUAUGAAUAAGGAUCGGCUAACUCCGUG
rnacentral:rRNA from 1 species